CACGUAGGGUGCGAGCGUUGUCCGGAAUUAUUGGGCGUAAAGAGCUCGUAGGCGGUGUGUCGCGUCGGCCGUGAAAACCUGGGGCUUAACUCUGGGCUUGCGGUCGAUACGGGCAUCACUGGAGUUCGGCAGGGGAGACUGGAAUUCCUGGUGUAGCGGUGAAAUGCGCAGAUAUCAGGAGGAACACCGGUGGCGAAGGCGGGUCUCUGGGCCGAUACUGACGCUGAGAAGCGAAAGCAUGGGGAGCGAACAGG
rnacentral:rRNA from 1 species